AGCCUCAUAGCUUAGUCGGUUAGAGCGUCGUGCUAAUAACGCGAAGGUCACAGGUUCGAUUCAUGUGUAGGCCA
rnacentral:tRNA from 1 species